rnacentral:lncRNA from 1 species
AAUAGGCAGAAAGGAGAACUGAAGGAGAAGUCUAGAGAAGCCAGCUACACCUACAUUAGAAAGAGUGGAACAGAUCACGGGUCACAGGAUUAAGGCUAGAUGGGGUUUGAGAUGUGGGAAGACUUGAGGUCAUUUUGAGUUUUGAGAAAAGGAGAGACAUGAAGAGGCAGAAAACAUGUUUACUGGACCCAGCUACUUUGCAGUGAUUAGUGGGACCUUCAGAACAUAAAUAGAUCCUAAGGAGUGAAUGCUUGUACCCCUUCCAAAAUUUAUAUGCUGAAGCCUUUAUAUGGUUGUAUGUAAAGACAGACCCACUAAUGAAGUAAUUAAGGUUAAAUGGAGUCAUAAGAGAGAGGCCCUAAUUCCAUAAGAUUAGUGUCCUUAUAAGAAGAGACUCCAGAGAACUCACUUUCUCACUCUCUCCCUCCCUUUCCUUGCAUACAAACCAAGGGAAAAUCAUAUGAGAACAUAGCAAGAAGGUAGCUGUCUGAAAGCCAGGAAGAGAGGCCUCAGCAGGAAAUGAAUCAGCAAGAACCUUGAUCUUGGACUUCUAGCCUCCAGAAUUAAAUCCGUCCUGGAAUUUGGCACAUGUAUGGGAUAUGGAUAGAAAAUAAGAGCAAAGAGGAAUUCAAGAUAAUGAGGCAAUAUAAACAAAAGUUGAAAAGAGAAAAUGAGCAUGCAGUGCCUAGAGAUGCCAAGGAAUCCAGAUCACUGAGGUCGGAUAGAUGUGUCUUUCCAGAAUUUGAUGAGGUUAACCAGGUAGAGCCAGAUGGUAGAGAUCCUUGAAUACCAGGCAAGGGAGUUCAUCUCUCCACCUGUAAGCAUGAAGGAGCCACGGGAGAUUUUGCAAAGGGAAUGACCAAAACGAAAAUGGCAUUUAGGAAAUGAGUUUGCCAGAAGUACCUGGGAGAAAUGGGGACUAGGCACUGAGAAUGUAAUUCAUAGCACAGCAGAACAGAUACUAAAAGAUCGUUCUGGAAGCAGAAGGGCUGGUUUCCAGCUUUUCUGAGGUUGUUUCACUGUGGGUAACUGCUAAGGCCUUCACCCUUGAUGCCAGAGGUGCUGAAACACAUUGCCACACGGCGAAAGAAGUGCCCUAUUGGCCCAAACACAUUGAAUAAACAUCUACCUCAAACCUU